rnacentral:lncRNA from 1 species
CAGGGAAUGUCAUCUGAGCAAACAAAAAACAACACAGGAGGUUAAGAAAAAAGAAGCCCGCUCAGCCUCCUUGCCAAGAAACCCAAUGAUGAUCGCAGAAGUUAACGAUCGCGCCCCGAAGCUCUGCUUUCCUGGAGGAGGGGAACCCCGCGCUCGGCAGGCCCGGCUUUGGGUUUAUGCUUCUUCCCCCCCCCCCCCCCCCCCCCCCCCGAGCGGAGCGGUCCUCAGUGAAGGCAGAGAGUUAAGUAAGAAAGCAAACCGCGGCAGAGUGCUCUCAGGCAGCGUUACUCCUCGCUUAGCAUCAGCACUAACGAGUCGUCCUCUCCCCUCGCCCGUCCGCAAAGCGAUCCAUCAUUUAUUUCCAGAUCACCUGGUGAUCUGUAACACAGAAAGAAAAAAAAAAAAAAGAGAGAGAGAGAUUAAGGAAGGAGCCGCCGACACCGCUCCAUGCGCAAUACCUAUCGGCUGAUGUAGAAAAGAAAGCAUAAUCCACAUGUAUAUUGCCUUUAACGAAAGGUAUUUCCUUCGCCUUCCCUCCCUACAGUACCGGCAUGCUUUUGCUGAGGGCUGCGUUUGCACAGUCGCCAGUAAUUACACGCGUGUGUCCGCCGGGAGAACGAAGGUUGGGAAGGUGGGAGGUAGGACGUGAUUCCUCUUUGGAGCAAUCAGGACUGGGAAAGGUUUCAUUCCGUGCAGACGUUGCCUUUGCUAGAUGGUGUCUCCCUUCGUGAGGAAUGGUGCUAAAAGUGGAUGGAAUCUGUUAAAGACACUGCUCUGCAUGUGGAAUUAUGGCAGAACUGACACUGACUAGAUCCUCCACAUUGGAGUUCAGUGAACCAAAGUGAGCUGCACUAUUUCCGUGCUUGACCUGCAGUGAGGAAUAUCACAUACAUACUUCUUGAUAUUUUAAUGCCAGAAAAAAAUGGAUAGAGAUUUUACUGAGGACUAUCUACAGAAAUGUAGAUUUGGU